AAAAGUUUUCAUCAGUGUAUCCCUCUCUAGAACUUGACCUCACACAUUUGCUGGAUCAAGCCCCUCAGGUUUGUUGUGUAUGCGGUGGGCAGACAGCAUACAGAUGCUCAUGGUGCCAUCUGGAUCUUCAUCUCCACCCGAAAUACAUGGAAUUAUUUGGCAACAUUUCAAAGGCUCAUCAGACAAGACUGAAGCAUUCUUAUAAAGAACUUAACUUCCACAGCCCCUCUGUUAAGAAGCAC